rnacentral:rRNA from 1 species
GGGUAUCAGACAUUGAGGUAGGGUACUGGCAACAGUGCUCUGCUGAAAUAUUUUCACCCAUGUCUUUUGCGCACUUUUUGUUUCCUGGGCGAGUUUGCUCGCCACCAGGACCCCCAUAUGAACCUUUUUUGUUUUUGCACUCAGCGUCAGUACAAUAAUUUAAUCUAUUAAAACUUUCAACAACGGAUCUCUUGGUUCUGGCAUCGAUGAAGAACGCAGCGAAAUGCGAUACGUAGUGUGAAUUGCAGAAUUCAGUGAAUCAUCGAAUCUUUGAACGCACAUUGCGCCCUUUGGUAUUCCAAAGGGCAUGCCUGUUCGAGCGUCAUUUGUACCCUCAAGCUUUGCUUGGUGUUGGGCGUCUUAUUGUCUCUCCGUCUCGGGGAGACUCGCCUUAAAACAAUUGGCAGCCGGCCUACUGGUUUCGGAGCGCAGCACAAAUUUGCGCUUGCAAUCAGCCAAGGGCGGCAUCCAUGAAGCCUUUUUUCUCUCACAUUUUGACCUCGGAUCAGGUAGGGAUACCCGCUGAACUUAAGCAUAUCAA